UUUUUCUGUUCCUUUUAGGCUUGUAAUUACUUUGUUUCCAAGCGCCGGGCGGUCGCUUCUUAAUCCUGUCGGGUUGCCGGCAUAUUUCGGUUUUGGCAUCUUCGUCACAUUGCAAUUAAAAACGCACAGCAGGUGUGCUCUGCAAAGUCCUUUGAACUUGUGCUAUAAAAUGUGAAUGUGUCACUUGCAAGGAUUCCACAACCGGAUGACGACGGCCGGGAUGGCUCCGGAAUGGACCAACGGAGGUAUGGGUAGACAAGCGACAUUUGACGCCUGCCUGACUCCUGUGAUUUUGGAUGCUAUCCAAGUGCCAAGCAAUUAUCACGUCAUUAUCAUAAGGAAGCCCAGGAACAGUUCGUGAAUGUUUUGAUUUUUUGCCCGGAAUAUUUACAAUUUAUGAGAAUGAUGUAAGGCUGAUUGAUGUCAGUAUGCCGAGGGGGAGUUUUAAAAUUUCAUUAGUCAUCUAACAUUUUCUUUAGCAAAUAUUGUGGAACUGUGAUGUUAAGCAUGUAUUGUUUGUAACUUCGAUAUCUGUUAAGGCUUACUGCAUAGAGUAGUCUUCCUUACUGAACACUUUUAUACAGGGAAUCGGAAAAAAAAUAAGUUUUACACAUAUUACACCCUGUCAAUUUUCGACUGACCCCUCUGGCAGCCUUAUACCUUUUGACAUAGAUGCCAGAUCGUUUAUUAGUAUACCGCGUUUGCCAGAUUCUGUAAAAACUCUCUCUUUAACUGUAAUAACUGCUUCUUUAGUUUAUUUAAUAAUUUAUUUAUAAUCUUAAAAACUAACUUGCAAAGUUAGUAGUAGCACUGGCUACUGAGGCCUUUAGCUUGGAUUAAAUCAUAUAAUAUUUGUUCAUUGCAAAACUCUCUGAAAUACAUUUAGUAUAUCGUCUCACCACAACAGCAAUAGCCCUCGGAUAAGACACUACCAAGUCAUCUAUCUACUUUUAUUUUUUUUUAUAUUUUCAACAAAGAUUAUCAUUUCAUUUGGUUUUGUCCUUUUAAAUAGCUCGAGCCCUCAGGCCUAAUGAACUCCGGUCCGGCUAGUUUUCGUCGAAAUGCUGGCAUGUCAACGUGAAGGUUUCCGCAUGCUUCGACUCCUCCUCUAUUAUCUACCGUCGGGCUUCCGUUGACAGACAACCCUUAUUGUGAGCGGGCGAUAACAUCUUCCGACAACAUGUCACAUGCCACGUGCUGGAAAAUUAUUAUGAAUAAUUUCCGUAACUUCUGUUCGUUUCUGUUCUGUGCUGCCAAAUCGCAGCUUGCAGUGAAAAAGUGACAUGACCAUGCCCGGCAUUUGCUUGCCGCCCACUUUUAGAGCAGUUCGCUAUGCCGCGUGCCCGAAGUGUGGGGCGUGCCGUCAGAUACAACUUCCGACAUCCGCGACAGAUGUUUUUGUGCGGGAAUGUGCAAAGGCGGCUCUACUCUCAACACCCCUCGCUGCGCUGAUCUCUACCUUGGUUUUUGGUCUUGUCUCUGAUUUUGGGAGUUGCGCCCGGUUGCAAAACAAUUGGCAGGAUAAUUUCUCGACGCGGAUGUCUCCGCCAGCAGUUCGUGAAUUGUAUUUGAAUUGUGAAUAUGAAUGUACUCGAUAAUCAUGUACGGGCCAAAAGGUGUUCAGCGAGUUUUUCUCGUUCCAGUUGUCGUUGUAAUUGUUGUUGUUGUUGCUGCUGUUGUGCGUGUCACAUGGCAUCUCGUUUGUAAUAUUUUUGUUGGCAAGGUGUGACGCAGUUGCCAAACAUCAAACAGACAUAAUCCAAAAUUGAUUCGCCCCCUCACCCAACCGCUGCAAAUCGUGCGUCAUUUGAAUGGAAUCAAGCAGACAAAAUUCGAUACGCCCCAAGUGAUCUAUAUGCCUGUCACAUGAGCUGUACAAAAGGUGCAAUUGCAGGCGCGAAUAGAUAGAGAGAGAGAUAGAGAAAUAAAGAGAUAGAGAUAGAGACACUUAUAGUAUAAAAUCUGUAUAUAUUCUGGGAAUCAUAAUAUAUUAUUAUAUACAAUAUAACACAGGUUAUUUACAGUUACUUUUCAGAAUUUUAAAUUAGCCAUAUCACAUCAGGAUUUUGAAAUGUUGAACUGACUUUUUAACAGCGCAAAGGUUUUCUUUAAAAUUAUUUAUUUUAAGACUAUAGCAGUAUCUAAAAAUUAAUAUACAUCUCUAUCUGUGUAGCUUAAAAUACAGCUGCUGAACAGUUCCCUGCAUCUCUUGGUCGCUCUAGUUGAUUAUGUAAAUGCUAUAUAAUUUACAAAAUAUGGCAAACAUGCGGCCAAACAAAGGGCGGCAAUUACAUGAAAAUCUCAAUUCAAUUGAGAGGCUGCGAAUGGAGACGCGGCUGUCAAUAAAUUGAGAAUCAACCACCGUUAAAUAUGAAUACAAACAGCAUCAGGCUCAGCCGCCAUUUCUGAUCGACAGCUGUCACGAAUGACAAUUGGAUUGCCAAGUUCUGGAUUGCCCUGGUUCUGGCUCUGGCCGGGCUCUGACUCCGGUCUCUGGUCUCUGGCCUCUGCCCUCCGUCUGCAUCAAAAUCGUAUAAAAUAUGCAAUAAAAAUAUGAGACCGCAGAAUUCUUAUUUAUAGAAUACGUAAAAUGCACGAGGUCAUCAAAAUCAGAGAAAACAACAAUAAUAACAACAGCAACAACAACAACGAAAACGACAACGAAAGCGAUAUGAAAAUUGAAACAAUGGCAAUGGCUCUACUCGAUCCGGGAGUGGGUUUCAUUGCGGGACUGGAGGACACUUGAGUAAAACGCAGAAACGUGGUUGCGUUUUUCGUGACUUGUGGGCGAGAGUGCGGCAGGGGAAAUGUAAAAUUGAGUAUAUUCAAUAUAAAUGAGCUACACACUUUAGUAAUUGAGGAUUUUCAAUCUGGAGUAUCUUGUCUGAAUUUCAAACCUACCUGCAGGAUACCCUGGCUAUCUUGUCUUCGAGCAGUCAUAUGUUUGGACUACGAAUAGGAAUGGGAAUAUAAGUUAACUUCCAUAUUUAAAUAUAUGUAUAUAUAUUUCUUUACUUUACCAGCCCAGCUGUAGGGCAUUUCGCCAGUCAGUGUGAGCCCAAAUAAAAUAAGUCUGUUAUAAAUAAAUGUUUGCCAUAAAGAAAGGCAAAGCUUUAAAUGCAAUUAUGGUUCAUAUGCAGCUCUUACAAAACGCCAAUGAUAUGAGCUGAGUGUCUUUUGUUGUGGCUUAAAUAUACACACACAUAUAUGCACACACACCCAUCCACCCAUCACACUCGAACCACUCUGUUGCGAGCCAAAAAAAUGAGGAAAAAAGCUGCACGAAGCUU